rnacentral:sRNA from 1 species
UCACCAGCCAGAAGCUCUUCAGAGCCUCUUUUCGAGCUCUCGCGUCACCACCAACACAACUCCACCAAGAUGUCGCCCUGCAACUGCAACUGCUGCUCUGGCAGCUGUGGCUCCUGCUCCUGCUCUCAGUGCAGCGUAAGUUGCC